UUCGUGCCAGGAUGGACAAGCAAGAUGCUCUGAACGAAAACAUCCAGAACAUGUUUGCCAUGUUGCUUCAGAGACUUCCUCAACCUCCAAACCCUUAGGCACUUAGGAUUUAUUUUUUGUUGUUUGCCUAAGUUUUUUGCUUCUGUCUUUCUUUUUAGCUCUGAUAUUCUGUUGAAUCUAAUGUUUUGACUGCUGUUUGCCUUUGUGCUUUUCAAUGAAGUGUUUUUCUCUUUAUUAUUCUUUUCAUUUUUUUUAUGCCUUUUUGAUUAUGCCAAAAAGGGGGAGAAAUUAUUAAAUAGCUCUGAUGAAAAUUAUGUCUAAAACCUUAAGCAUUCUGCAACAAUUAUAGAAAUAGUUCUGAUAUAAAUAGCUCUAAUUAAAUAAUAGCUCUGAUUAAAUAACUCUAACAUUAAAAUUAAGAAAUUGCAGAAAGUUUU
rnacentral:lncRNA from 1 species